AAUCUCCCAGGUGUAGUUUCUGGUUUAUUCGACUCAGCUCUGACUCCAUAUUUUUCUAUUAGAUUCCAUAUCAGACCCGAUUUACCUAGCUACACUAUACCUAUCUUUAAAUCUGGCUUCACCCUCUGGUUAGAAUAGUGGGGAGACUGAGUCCCAAUCUGAAGCUGCCUUGAUUUCUCAGUGCUGCCCAUUCUGCAUCCUGAACCGGGACCAGGAGCCCCCCUAGCUUCCUUGUGUUACAGCCCCACCUCCCACAUCCCACAGGCUGUGGGCUUUGAAAGGAAAGUGACCACAACACUCGGAGCAACCAAAAGAUCUUCAUUGCAGCAGUGCAACAAAGAGAAAGGAAAGAAGGAAAGAAAGAGAGAGAGAGAGAGAAAGCAAGAGAGAUAGCAAGAGAGAGGGGGGCCUGGCAGGAGGGAGUUUUAUAGCCCAAAUCUAAUGGGGCCUCUGGGUCUGCAAGCUGCUUUGUUGGCCCAAGGGGGGUUGAGUGUUCAGACUUGAGGCAAACAGGUGAUAAAGGACCAGAUAGAGGGGGGUUUGAGUGCGUGGGCUAUCUUGCAGCCAACAUCUGUUCAGCCUGCUCUGCACCCAACAGGCUUGUCCCCAGCUGCUGUGCUGGGCACUGAGGGGCUUCUAGCUGGCUGGUGCUGAAACAACAAAGAACAGCCAUCAAUGUGGAGGAAUUCUGAUAUGGGCUGCAGAAGGCCAGGGAGAGAGUGAGGCCAGGGAUUUGCAUUACAGAGACCUCUCGGAUUUGUGCUGAGAGCAGUAGUGGCCUCUGAAGGAUUUGGAGGCACAGACACAGUCGGAUUUGCUGUUCACAAGUCAUCUUCCAGCUGCUGUGUUGAGUGUUUGGCAUUGUGUGAAGUGGCCCUCUUUCGAUUUGGGGGUAUUGAGGGAGAAAAGUAGGAGAGUUAUUGAGAUUUCUAGGAUCACACUGAAUUCCCUAGAUGGUCUCCCAGUUUUCUCUAGGAUUCGUUUCCUCAAUCUUAGCCAUUGUUGGCUAUACUCCCUAUCACGCUCAUGACCUAGUUCGAAAUCUGAAAUGAAUAUAAUGAAUAAUGGCAAUUGCUGAGGCCAUUGCCAUGGAAUACAUAGGGAGGGCUAGAGGCAUUACUGGAACUUGUGAGAGCCAAGCCUUCUGCUAGCAGCUGGGGCUGGGCCUUGGGGGAAGGUUUGGGGAAGGCACCAAUUGGUUGAAGGCACCUGCCUGAGGAUGUUCAAUCUAGGUAUACUUUCCACCUGUGUCCUCAUUUUUAUGAAAAAGAGCCUAGUAGGAUGUGCAUUUAUGAAAGGAGUCCAUGUGAGACCUGGAAUAUGUACUGGGCAGCCCCAUGUGAUAAGGUUUUGGCCUUUGGCCUCUUUACUCUGUCCUGGGUCAGCGUCUGGGGUGGGGGCCGUGAACUACAGCUAGAGUGGAUCAGGCCUAGAUUAUGACACCUACAGUUCACUUUGUUGGCUGCUGCUGCAGGAAGGCCCUCCAGCAACACCUCUUCUAACUGGGGCCAGUGACCCCAGCUCAGCAGCACCCCUCCUGUGUGAGUCACUGAGGCAUGGGAACUCUUAGUCUACCUCUGACUGUCAGGGAAGGUCUGAUCUGGAAGAAUGGGUUCAGAUCCCCCAGAAUCCCAGGAAUGGAUGGUUUGGUGAUCAUCUCCCCACUAAGUGUGUGUUUAGGAACUGGUGGCAGUGAGGCAGGUGUGCAGAUGUGCAGUGGGGUUACAUAUCCCCUGUGUAUGUGUGGACAUGGUGGGGCCAUGUGACACUUCAUGUUGGGUAGUGUCCUCUUUUCACUCUGUAGUCACCUGCUCCACUUGGCCUCCCAAGUUCUCCCUGCUGACUGGUGAUACUUUGGACUGGUGUGGAAUGAUGGUGGUGUCCUUCAGGGACCUGCAGUUUUCCUAUUCCUGGCAAAGUUUGAUAUGCUUGGGAAAGCACAAUUUGAGCCUGUGAUAUGAAGAAUGUGUGUGUGUGUGUGUGUGUGUGUGUGUGUGUGUGUAGGCUUUCUGGUGUGGUUUUUGUGUCUGUCUUUGAGAGUUGCAUGUGCCUCUCUGUGUUUCUGAAAGGAAAGUGACCACAACACUCGGAGCAACCAAAAGAUCUUUAUUGCAGCAGUGCAACAAAGAGAAAGGAAAGAAGGAAAGAGAGAGAAAAGAGAAGAGAUGAAUAGGGAGAGAGCAAGAGCAAGAGAGAGACAGAGAGCGCGCGUAAGAAAGAUAAAGAGCAAGAGAGAGAGAGCAAGAGAGAAAGAGCAAGAGAGAGAGAGGGAGAGAGAGAGGGGGCCUGGCAGGAGGGAGUUUUUAUAGCCCAAAUCUAAUGGGGCCUCUGGGUCUGCAAGCUGCCUUGUUGGCCCAAGGGGGGUUGAGUGCUCAGCCUUGAGCGGGAUUUGACACACACAAACAGGUGAUAAAGGACCAGAUAGAGGGGGGUUUGAGUGGUGGGCUAUCUUGCAGCCAACAUCUGUUCAGCCUGCCCUGCAGACAACACAGUUCAGCCUGCUCUGCACCCAACAGUUUCUCCAUGAGUUUUCCUGUGUUUGGUGUAUGUCCCAUCCUAUGAGUGCAGAAACAGCCUUUGCAUGUAUCCUCAUAGGCUAGGCAGGCAAAGAUGUGACCUACAGUUGACAUGAGUCUUCAUUAGAUGACUGUGCGCAGCCUAGAAUUGUGCCAAGUAUAGUCUGCACAAAGCUCCCUCUCACUCAAUCUCAAUCUCACUAGACAACUUUUCAUCACCUCCAUCUUUGGUUCUGAAGAGAUUCACUGCUCCAUUACCUCAGAACAGAGCUGCAAUUGAUGAAAUUAAACCAAAAUCUCAAAUGAGAUUGCAAUAUCAAAUGAGCUCUUUAGGGCUGGGUAUGUGGCUCAAGCAGUAGCGCGCUCGCCAGGGAUGCGUGCGGCCCAGGUUCGAUCCUCAGCACCACAUACAAACAAAGAUGUUGUGUCCGCCGAAAACAAAACAAAAAAAAUAGAUAUUAAAAUUCUCUCUCUCUCUUUCCCUGUUUUUUGUUUUUUUUAAAAAAAACACACAAAAAACCAAAUGAGCUCUUUACCAGGAACUUUGGGUAUCCUACAACUAAUGCUGUUUAGCCCCAUUUGUUUCCAUGUUGUCCUUUUUGACACGUGGUUUGUGUUGGGAAAAGUAUAAAUGGCAGCCAUACCCCAGAGAAAAAACCCCAACAUGGUGCCUAAGCACCUCUUCUUCCUACCUUCUUCUUUUCUGCAGUGGCGCAAAAAGUUCCCGCCCGUGUGAACUCUCCUGCCGGCGCCAAUUUCAAAUCUCGCUGGCGGGGAACCUUAGCCCCAAUGAGAACUAAUUCCUGGGCUCUGGAGCUGAUAUCUGAAAGAACUUGCCAAUAAACGGGUUGCCUGCCAUUUAUCUAAACCCUACCAUCUCCCCCUUAGUUCUAUGUAAGCACACUGCUUUUUGCAAUAAAAUUGGAAUUCUCCCGGCAAAGUGUCUUUGCGUGGGGAAUUCUUUCAUUCUGGUGCUGUGACUCGGAUACGGGUGAGCUCUUUCCAACAAGAGCCCCGUCCCCCGCUCCGCCGAGACACUCCGCCCUGGUCCGCUCUUUUCAGACUCGGCUGCCUGCAC
rnacentral:lncRNA from 1 species